rnacentral:rRNA from 1 species
AUUGAACGCUGGCGGCAGGCCUACCACAUGCAAGUCGAACGAGUGGCGGAAGGGUGAGUAAUGUCUGGGAAACUGCCUGAUGGAGGGGGAUAACUACUGGAAACGGUAGCUAAUACCGCAUACCCUCGGAUGUGCCCAGAUGGGAUUCGCUAGUAGGAGGGGUAAAGGCUCACCUAGGCGACGAUCCCUAUCUGGUCUGAGAGGAUGACCAGCCACACUGGAACUGAGACACGGGCCAGACUCCGACGGGAGGCAGCAGUGGGGAAUAUUGCACAAUGGGCGCAAGCCUGAUGCAGCCAUGCCGCGUGUAUGAAGAAGGCCUUCGGGUUGUAAAGUACUGUCAGCGGGGAGGCGUUACCCGCAGAAGAAGCACCGGCUAACUCCGUGCCAGCCGCCGCGGUAAUAC